UGUUGCAACGGUGCGGAAUGGUGCUAUAAUCGGUGCUGGGACACUUUCUAUUCCAACCAUUUAAAAGGAGCAAGCACUUUGAGAGGCUAACCUCAGUUCAGAAGAAAAACUAGUCUGUACAAGAUGAAAUCUUUUCUGCGGUCGGUAAUUUUGCUCGUGACCACCGUUUUGAUGUCAAACGUGUCGGCUCGCAAUUGGAGGGAAGGCGAUGGUGGCCUAGUUCGUUGGGACUUUGACUGCAAUUUCAAUCGACACGAUAUUCAGUUCAUGCCCAGCUUGCCCGAGCAAUGUGGAGGAGUCUGUAUCGCGAAUCGGCGAUGCACCCAUUUCACCCACAGUGGUGGUACUUGCGCUUUGAAGAGAAACACUGGUAGCAGUUUCCGCGAAGACAGCCUCUCCGGCCAUACUUGUGGUUUCGUGUUGAAUCGUAGCGGACAACCGCUCCCGUGAAACCAGCAACCAAACGAUGAAAUGCACUAUUUGAAACGGCUUCUUAUGGGAUAAUGUACUUUCAGUUUUUUUGCAAUUUUUUUCUUGUAUUAAUCGCAUCUUAUAUUUUUUUAAUACACUUUUUUUGGCAUUAGAA